rnacentral:rRNA from 1 species
AGCGAACGUUAGCGGCGGGCCUAACACAUGCAAGUCGAGCGAGAAAGGGGCUUCGGCCCUGAGUAAAGCGGCGGACGGGUGAGUAACACGUAGGUAAUCUUCCUUCGAGCGGGGGACAACGGUCCGAAAGGACCGCUAAUACCGCGUACGUUCCCGAGGACCCUGGUCCUUGGGAGGAAAGCUAGGUCGCAAGAUCCGGCACUCAGAGAGGAGCCUGCGUCGCAUCAGCUAGUGGGUGGGGUAAUGGCCUACCAAGGCGAAGACGCGUAGCUGGUCUGAGAGGAUGAUCAGCCACUGGGGCUGAGACACGGCCGCGACUGCUACGGGAGGAAGCAGUGGGGAAUAUUGGACAAUGGGCGCAAGCCUGAUCCAGCCACGCCGCGUGAGUGAUGAAGGCCUUCGGGUCGUAAAGCUCUGUGGGGAGGGACGAACCGCUGCACGUGCAUAGCGUGCAGCAUGACGGUACCUCCUUAGCAAGCACCGGCUAACUUCGUGCCAGCCGCCGCAGUAA